GAGUUUGAUCCUGGCUCAGGAUAAACGCUGGUGGCGCACAUAAGACAUGCAAGUCGAACGGACUUAAUUCAUUCUUUUAGAUUGGAAGCGGUUAGUGGCGGACUGGUGAGUAACGCGUGAGCAACCUGCCUAUUAGAGGGGAAUAACAGUGAGAAAUCAUUGCUAAUACCGCAUAUGCUUACACUAUUGCAUGAUAGAGUAAGGAAAGGAGCAAUCCGCUAAUAGAUGGGCUCGCGUCUGAUUAGCUAGUUGGUGGGGUAGAAGCCUACCAAGGCGACGAUCAGUAGCCGGACUGAGAGGUUGAACGGCCACAUUGGGACUGAGAUACGGCCCAGACUCCUACGGGAGGCAGCAGUCGGGAAUAUUGCGCAAUGGAGGGAACUCUGACGCAGUGGCGCCGCGUAUAGGAAGAAGGUUUUCGGAUUGUAAACUAUUGUCGUUAGGGAAGAAAAAAGACAGUACCUAAGGAGGAAGCCCCGGCUAACUAUGUGCCAGCAGCCGCGGUAAUACAUAGGGGGCAAGCGUUAUCCGGAAUUAUUGGGUGUAAAGGGUGCGUAGACGGGUGUUUAAGUUGGUUGUGAAAUCCCUCGGCUCAACUGAGGAACUGCAACCAAAACUGGA
rnacentral:rRNA from 1 species